rnacentral:rRNA from 1 species
CCUACGGGAGGCAGCAGUGAGGAAUAUUGGUCAAUGGGCGCGAGCCUGAACCAGCCAAGUAGCGUGAAGGAUGACUGCCCUACGGGUUGUAAACUUCUUUUAUAAAGGAAUAAAGUGAGGCACGUGUGCCUUUUUGUAUGUACGUUAUGAAUAAGGAUCGGCUAACUCCGUACCAGCAGCCGCGGUAAUACGGAGGAUCCGAGCGUUCUCCGGAUUUAUUGGGUUUAAAGGGAGCGUAGAGGGGUUGUUAAGUCCGUUGUGAAAGUUUGCGGCUCAACCGUAAAAUUGCAAUUGUUACUGGCAGUCUUGCGUACAGUUGCGGUCGGCGGAAUUCGUGUUGUAGCGG